rnacentral:rRNA from 1 species
GACGAACGCUGGCGGCGUGCUUAACACAUGCAAGUCGAACGGAAAGGCCCUGCUUUUGUGGGGUGCUCGAGUGGCGAACGGGUGAGUAACACGUGAGUAACCUGCCCUUGACUUUGGGAUAACUUCAGGAAACUGGGGCUAAUACCGGAUAGGAGCUCCUGCUGCAUGGUGGGGGUUGGAAAGUUUCGGCGGUUGGGGAUGGACUCGCGGCUUAUCAGCUUGUUGGUGGGGUAGUGGCUUACCAAGGCUUUGACGGGUAGCCGGCCUGAGAGGGUGACCGGCCACAUUGGGACUGAGAUACGGCUCAGCGUCAUACGGGAGGCAGAAGUGGGGAAAAUUGCACAAUGGGCGGAAGCCUGAUGCAGCAACGCCGCGUGCGGGAUGACGGCCUUCGGGUUGUAAACCGCUUUCGCCUGUGACGAAGCGUGAGUGACGGUAAUGGGUAAAGAAGCACCGGCUAACUACGUG